UUACAGCAAUUGUUGAUCAAUUGAUUUGUAGUUGAGAGCGUCUCAUGACUAGUUUCAGUUUACAUUCUGUUUAAUUAGUAUAUAUAUAUAUAUAUUUAUAGAACAUAAACAAAUAAUUACAAGAGUUGAUUAAAUUAAAACAUCCGAAAAUAUUAUAAAUAUGGACGCAACUUUCAAAGAAGAAAAACCACUCAAUCCAAGAAGUAAAGCAAAUAUUUUUGAAAUUGUUACUUUUAGUUGGAUUUUAAAACUUAUUAAAAAAGGAUUAAAAAAAGAAUUAGAUUUAAUUGAUUUAUACACAAUUUUGGAAGAAGAUUCAUCUGCAUUACUGGGUAACAAAUUAGAAAAGUUAUGGAAGGAAGAGUUGAUAAAUUCAAAAAAGAAAAAUCGAAAUCCCAGUCUUUUAAGGACACUAUUUCGAAUGUAUGGAACACAGCUUAUUUGUAUUACGAUUAUAUUAACAAUAUUAGAAACUUGCAUAAGCAUUGGUUUAUCGACUAUUGUUGGAAAAAUAGUAAGCUAUUUUGAAACUUAUAAACCAACCAAUCAAAAACAAGAUGGAAUUUAUUUAGCAGUUUGCCUAAUUGCAGUUUUAUUAAUGAGGUCAAUUAAUUUUAACACUUUCGAUAUGAUUUUAUCUCAUACUGCGAUGAAACUUCGGAUUGCGACUUGCAAUAUUAUUUACAAAAAGUCGUUGCGACUUAAAACUAAUUCUGAAGAUCAAACAACGACCGGACAAAUAAUAAACCUUAUGUCAAACGACGUAAAUCGAUUUGAUAUAUCGAUUAUAUACGUGCCAUAUCUGUUGUUGGGUGUUUUACAAACAAUUGUAGUGACUUAUUUUUUGUGGCAAGAAGUAGGGGUGUCAUCAGUACUUGGCGUGGCUACAUUAUUUGUAUUUAUACCAUUACAAAUAUGGUUGGGGUCAAAAACGUCCGAAAAUCGAUUAAAAACAGCCAAAAGAACGGACAAAAGAGUACAUUUAAUGAACGAAAUAAUUUCGAGCUUACAAAUAAUAAAAAUGUACACUUGGGAACCAUUUUUUAACAAUCUUACAACAUUUGCCAGAAAGAAAGAAAUGAAUAAAAUUAUAAAAUCAGUGUAUAUCAAAGGAAUUUUGUCAUCGUUUUUUUUAUUUAACACAAGAAUCGCAUUAUUUGUGAAUUUAUUAGCAUUCGUAUUACUUGGAAACAAUAUAAUCUCAUCAAAAGUAUUUGUAAUCACUUCGUAUUAUAACAUUUUACGAGGAACAUUGACUGUAGGUUUUCCUCCGGGCAUUGGUCUAUCUGCUGAAUUACUUGUGUCAAUAAAACGAAUUGAGGAUUUCCUUUUAUAUGAAGAAAAAGAUAAACAAAUAACGACAAACCAAAUAAAACCAACAGAUAUUUGUAGAAAAACUAUAAACAACGGUGUAGUGUUGAGUAAUGGGAGUAAUCAAAUCAAUAUUGGAAUUCAGUCGACUAAUUUCGGCAUAGUCAUGUCAAACGCUUCGGCCAAGUGGACAGAUGGUCAAAUUGACAAUACCUUAGAAAAUAUCAAUUUAACCGUAACGCCCGGUCGAUUGGUUGCAAUAAUUGGUCGAGUAGGAGCAGGAAAAAGCUCGUUAAUACAAGCUAUUUUACAAGAACUACCACUUUCAGGUGGAAGUAUUUCCGUACGUGGUAUAGUGUCAUAUGCAUCACAAGAACCGUGGUUAUUCCCAGGUUCUAUUAAACAAAAUAUUAUUUUUGGUUCACCAAUGAACAAAGACCGUUAUAACAAAGUAAUAGAUGUAUGUGCGUUAAAAACAGAUUUAGAGCAGUUUCGGUACGGCGAUCAGACGAUUGUAGGAGAAAAAGGAUUAUCCCUCAGUGGUGGACAACGUGCAAGGAUAAAUUUAGCUAGAGCCAUAUAUAAACAAGCGGAUAUUUAUUUAUUGGAUGAUCCUUUAUCGGCAGUUGACACACGUGUCGGCAAGCAUUUAUUUGAAAAGUGUAUUAAAGAGUAUCUCAAAGAAAAGACUUGUAUACUGAUAACCCAUCAAAUUCAAUACUUGAUUAGUGUAGAUCAAAUUGUUUUAAUGGAAAACGCGAAAGUUACAGUGGAAGGUACAUAUCAAGAGCUUCAAAACUCUGGUUUAGACUUUACAAAACUACUAGGAUCUUCAACGGAAACAGCAAUUUCGACCGAAAAGGAAUAUAACGAUACAAAAUCCAGUAUCGAAAGUUCUGAAUCACAUUCUGCACAUAUUGCUCAAAAGUCAUCCGUUUCUAUUGUCACGUCAUCUGUCAAAGAAACCGAGAUCAAUGGUGUUCAAGCUGGACCAUUUGACAUGGCUGAAACGCGUUCUUCGGGGAAUAUCGGAUUUAGUAUCUAUUCGUCGUAUGUUUUUGCCGGUGGCCAUUUUUGCAAAGUACUGUGUUUAUUGUCAGCCUGCAUUUUUACUCAAAUACUUGCGUCUGGCAGUGAUUGCUGGAUAACUUAUUGGGUUAAUCUAGAAGACCAUUAUUUUGGUUUAACUGAGCAAUUAGUUGGCACCAAAAAUGAUACGUUCACAACAAUCCAACCCAUUGAUGAAUCAAUCCCGUGGAUUGUAUCGAGAAAAACUUGUAUCAUUGUAUUUACUAUACUUACUCUUUUAAUUAUCAUAUCUGCCUUUACCGAAAUAGUGUUUUUGGUAUCUAUAUGCACCACAGCAUCCUCAAACCUUUAUAAUAGAAUGUAUAAUUCAAUUACAAGAGCAACGAUGGCAUUUUUGAAUAAAAAUCCAUCAGGUCGAAUUCUAAAUCGUUUUUCAAAAGACAUUGGAGUUAUUGACGAAACGUUGCCUCCAAUAUUUAUUGAUGUUGUUCAAAUCGGGUUGAUGGUGAUUGGAACUUUAAUAGUGGUGGGGAUUGUUAAUGCUUAUUUAAUCCUACCAACAUUUGUUAUAGUGGUAGUUUUUUUCAAAGUUAGAAACAUAUACAUGAUAGCAACUCGUAAUGUAAAACGUCUAGAAGGUGUUGCACGAAGUCCAAUGUUUACUCAUGUAAAUUCUUCACUUCAAGGACUGACAACAAUAAGAGCAUUUGAAGUAGAACAAAUACUUUUCCAAGAGUUUGCAAGCCAUCAAGAUUUACAUUCUUCAGCUUGGUUUUUAUUUCUGAGUUUAAGUAGAGCAUUUGGGUUUUGGUUAGAUAUUAUUUGUAUUUUUUAUACAAGUCUCAUAAUGUUUUUUUUCAUAUUUAUUGUUAAUGAUACACAAGGCGGGAAUGUUGGUCUAGCUAUUACACAAGCAAUUGGAUUAACUGGUAUGUUCCAAUGGGUAGUAAGACUGUCUGCGGAAUUAGAAAAUCAAAUGACGUCUGUUGAAAGAGUUCUAGAAUAUACAAAUGUACCACAAGAACCAGCUCUCGAAUCAGCUCCAAACAAAAAACCGCCCGAAGAAUGGCCAAAUAAAGGAAACAUCACAUUCAACAAAUUAUCUAUGCGUUACGAUUCAGACUCACCAUUUGUUUUAAAAAAUAUCAGUGUUGAAAUUGAGGCUAUGGAAAAGAUAGGAGUUGUUGGAAGAACUGGUGCUGGUAAAUCAUCUUUGAUUGGAGCAUUAUUCAGAUUAGCUCUUAACGAGGGUAGGAUCAUUAUUGAUGGAGUUGAAAUUCAUGAAUUGGGAUUACAUGACUUACGAUCCAAAAUUUCUAUCAUACCACAAGAACCAGUUUUGUUUUCAGGAACAAUGAGAAAAAACUUGGACCCAUUUGAUAAAUAUUCAGAUCAUAUUCUUUGGAAAGCUUUAGAUGAAGUGGAACUUAAAGAUGUCGUGGAAGAUUUAUCUGAUGGGCUGAACUCAAAAAUAUCUGAAGGUGGAUCUAAUUUGAGUGUCGGUCAAAGACAAUUAGUAUGCUUGGCUAGAGCUAUUGUACAAAAUAAUAAAAUUCUUGUAUUAGAUGAAGCCACUGCCAAUGUGGACCCACAAACUGACGGUUUGAUACAAAAUACAAUCAGAAAUAAAUUUCGAACAUGCACAGUAUUAACAAUUGCUCAUCGCUUAAACACAGUUAUGGAUUCUGACAGAAUACUUGUAAUGGACGCUGGUCAAAUAGUUGAAUUUGACCAUCCAUUUACUUUGUUGAAAAACAAAAAUGGAUAUUUGUAUAAAAUGGUAGAACAAACAGGCCCAAAUAACAUAAAAUUGUUACAUAGUGUAGCUACUGAGAGUUUUAAUAAUCGAUAAUGUACAGAAUGCUUUCCUGACGAAGAUAAAUAUGAAACUACAAUCAUAAAUAUGUAAUAGUAUAUUAUAUUAUUAUUUAUUUUGCUAUGAGGUUCAUUAUUAUUUUGUAUCCAUAAAAUGGUAUCUAGAAAGAAUUUUCAAUUAAAAUAAAAUUGGCGAUUAAUUGAUGUUAAUGAGACUGCUGCAAUCUAUAAAGAUCUUUAUUAAAGAAGUACGUAAAAUAAAAUAAUCUUUUCUUUGGACAUAAAUAAUAAUAAUACAAAAAUUAAUGAAGAACGACGGACACUGCAGAUUAGUCUUAGUUUUA